rnacentral:rRNA from 1 species
UACGUAGGGGGCAAGCGUUGUCCGGAAUCAUUGGGCGUAAAGAGCGUGUAGGCGGCCUGAUAAGUCGGUUGUGAAAGUCAAGGGCUCAACCCUUGAAUGCCGACCGAUACUGUCAGGCUAGAGUCCGGAAGAGGCGAGUGGAAUUCCUGGUGUAGCGGUGAAAUGCGUAGAGAUUAGGAAGAACACCAGUGGCGAAGGCGACUUACUGGACUGUAACUGACACUGAGGCAUGAAAGCGUGGGUAGCAAACAGG